CGGGUUUUCCCAUCUUUGCCUCUACUUUGGGCCUUUCCUCAGCCCAAUCAAAGUUGUUCUGUGGUCGAAUUUUUACAAUUUACCCAAAAGUUACUCAAACAGAAACACUACAGAGGACUGGAGAUGAACAGAAGGGCACCACUGAUAGACAAUUCUGCUUCCUUCAGGAACCUGAACAAAAAGCGAAUUUUCACUCACAUAAUAAUUAAAAAAUAAUAAAACAAGCCAAGCAACUAAAACAUAAGUAUAAAGUCCUACUGAAGGUAUGGAGUUGCCAUGUAUUAGUACAGAUCACAUGCCCUUCUGAACCAGAACAAAUUAUAUUUACCUGCAGCCAGAGGAAGGGAGGAGAGACGAGGAAGUCUCUGUUUAAAGCUUUAUCAUCUAGUCUAAUAAACAAUGAUGCUUCACCUUUGGAGGCCCGGUUUUGCUUCGUCAUGGGCCUCCAUGUGAAUGGAGCAUGAGUGAAACCAGUUCAGGAUGGCAUGCACCUGAGUGAGAAGAAAGCAAGCCAGCAAUGGACCAAAAACCUCUUCCACCCUCCUGAUGGAGGAUUGUGUUCAAAAUCCCAGGCUGGUGCUUGGUGGCAGGUACGAGUUCCCUCAGCCCUAGUCAGUUGUUCUUAUGCUGCUCCUUCUGCUUUACUGGCCUAGCUACCACAACAGUAAAAAAGGGUAUUUUCCACCUGAAUUAGUUUCCUGCUCAUAUCCUGUCAUGGCCAUGCCCUGGAACAUGGCAGAGAAGGCAAUACAAAAGUAGGUGAUGCCACCACUUGUCCUUGCACAGUGCCACUGAAAGCCCCUGGCCAAUCGUAUGCAUUUGUUACUCCUCUCGGCUUGAGUUACUGUCUCUAAGUGGCUCAGUAUAAUAAUGCUUUCCAUUUCUAGACUUAUGAUAUAUCUAAAUAGCUACAAUGACAAAAUUUAAAAGUGGAAGAGCCAUUUUCCUGUUCCCUAGAAUGAAGAAUACAGCAAAAUGUCAACUCUUCCUGGUAAAAUUGGCUGAACUUCAGCUUUUGACAGUGUAACAGUCUAUUGUGUUAUGAAUAUUUUACAUUCACAGCCAGCAUGCAAAGUCUCUGAGCACAGAUUAGAUUUCCAUUAAUACAGUUAUCUAUCUUUUGGCCACAGUGCAUCAAACUCCUCUAUUCCUCAUGAGAGAAUCAAAUAGGAGUUCAAUUUCUUUCUUAUUCUAAAGGUAGAGAUAAUAUUCAUUGGAAGUAUCUUAGUUUUUUUUUUUUUUUUCCUCUUACAGCAUUAAAGUAUAUUUUUAUUUCAAACUGACUUUCAUAUUAGAACUGUAAGUCUAUAUAGUAAAGUUUACAAAACAUAGUCUGUGCAGUAUCACUAGUUAGAUUGGAUUUACAUUAUUUAAAUAUGGAAAUGAAUUUAAUCUCUGCAAAGUUAAAGCUUAUUUUUAAGCAAAAGAAAAUGUUGGGAACCUGGAAAACUUGGAAAAAAAAAAAAAAGCUAACCAUGCAAUCAGCCCUUUAAAUAAUAAUAAUAAUAAUAAAAGACAAACACUGAGGUGAAUGAACAUUGAGAUGAAGCUUAUGCUAUAAAAUUAGCUUUAAUCUUCUGUUAUUUGUGUCAGUGGAGAUGAAUAAAGUGAGAAUCAAAUUAAGAACAAUUCCACAGACCUCAACCUUAUUCCCACUGAAAUUCUAAGUUAGCACGAACAGGUAAUGGGGCAGACUUGUGAAGUGAAAUCCUAAGCACAUUUAAGUUACUGGGACUUUUAUGAUUUUUUGCAUUACUCUCUUAGUGUAGAUUUAAAAUGAUAAUGCUACAUAAAUUCUCAAAGCACUAUCUUCACAAGCAGAUGGUCUAGACUUUUUAAUAAAUGAAAACUUGCAUUCUGAAAAAA